CACGAUUAGACAAAAAAGAAGUGUAAAGAUUUUGGUGUAGUAAAAUCAUAAUGCUACAAAAGAAUCACGCACGCCACCCCCCAAAAAAGGCAUAAUGGUAAAAAAAGCAUAUUUUCAAAGUAAACCUAAGAUACGUACCUGGUGAUGCCAUUGAUGAGUUUGUAUGGUAUUGAGAUCUUAAAGUUCACUUUUAUUGAUGGGGCUCUCAGAAAAGACCAGCUUCAUCUUUU
rnacentral:lncRNA from 1 species